UAGUAACACUUCCAUUGCACCAUUGCUACAGUUCUUACCAGAGAAGUUUCUUUGAACAUGCGGAGCCCUGGAAACCACGAGGAGGAGGUUCAGCAUUCACUCCUGAGCAUGAAGCUGGCUCUUGGUGGUGCCUCUCUGCAGCUUGCCUUUUACCACUGACCAUCACUCUUCUCUUCCUAUGGGAGAGUGAAAGGGAAAGGAUGCCAUCUGAAGGGU
rnacentral:snoRNA from 1 species